GUGGGUAUAGUUCAGUGAUAAGAGUAUGUGCUUAGCAUGCACAAAGCCCUGGGUUCAAUACCCACUACCUCCA
rnacentral:tRNA from 1 species